ACAUUAAUAAUUUAUAGGUUUUAUUACUAUUUUUGUUUAAAAAGAGAAAUUGUUUUUGUUGUCGAUAAAGUUUAAAGUUUUUCAAGAGCCCUCCCCAACCUGUGCGUUGCGUAGCGGAGAGAUAGGCCUGUUUAGGGCAGAGACAGCAAGCACGCGCAGCAGAGUAGCCAUUAGCUGAAAAACUACGGUGAAAAACUAAAAUAACGGUGCAAACCUGUUGUCUAGCCAGACCAGAAGAGGGGUGUGAGCCAAAUAAGAUUUUAUGCCAUUACGAGACGAGUUUUGGCCAGGUUUUUGAGUCCCCCCGAGAGAAAUUGGGAGACGGUUCCGGACCGGAUCGUUCUGGACUUCUCCUGAUCCAUGGAUGGCGAGCCUACCCAAGGAGCACGAUAAUCCGGACUGCCUG